UACGUAGGGACCAAGCGUUGUUCGGAUUUACUGGGCGUAAAGGGCGCGUAGGCGGCGUGUUAAGUCAGCUGUGAAAUCUCCGAGCUUAACUCGGAACGGUCAGCUGAUACUGAUGUGCUAGAGUGCAGAAGGGGCAAUCGGAAUUCUUGGUGUAGCGGUGAAAUGCGUAGAUAUCAAGAGGAACACCUGAGGUGAAGACGGGUUGCUGGGCUGACACUGACGCUGAGUGCGCGAAAGCCAGGGGAGCAAACGGG
rnacentral:rRNA from 1 species